rnacentral:rRNA from 1 species
AAUGGCUAAACGAGGGCUCCACUGUCUCAAUAAUAAACCUAGUGAAAUUGAGAUGGCGGCGAAGACGCCGCCUAUGAAUUCUAAGACGAGAAGACCCCAUUGAGCUUUACUAUUAACUUGUAUUGCCAGAGCAAAGGGGAGGGGGACCCUACGGGUCUAGGGAAUACCCCGGAUCCGUUUUGCCCCCUGUCCCUAGCUUCAUAAUAAAAUUGUGGAGACUAUGUGGCAAAAGAAAAACAAGGGAUUUAAAAGAACGGGGGGGGG